GACAGAAUUCAAGCUCAACAGCAGUCUACUCAGAGUUAGGUUAGGUUAGAUACAACAGUGCAUGCUGAUUCACAUCACUAUACUGAAACACAUGAGUUCGGAGCAACAUCAUUCAAAGGGCCUUUUCUGAAGUUUCCUCCUCCUCUUACCUCUUCUCCUGGACCUCCUGGAUGUUCUCGAUGCCGAUAGCACUGCUACGUCGAGAGCUGAAAGGUCCUGACUUUUUCCUAGUUGGGCUUUUUCCAGGAAUGAUCAAAGACUGUAGGAGAGAACAGGAAGGUCAGCGAGCCAAGGAUUCAUAGAAACACCUUCACACUGAGAUGAAAACUUCUCAAAGGAAACUUUAAGGAUAAUACAUCCUCUAUAGGUCAGGUCUAUGUUAUACCACUAGCAAUAGUCUAUUAUUUCUUAUAUCUAUGGCAUGCUCCAGCCUUUUUUAAGAACAAAAGGCAGUGUUUCAUAGCUUGACUGGCAGGGUGGAUGUGAAGAGCGCGCUUGAGGGUUUCGGCCUGAACUGAGAGAUGAAAGAUGGGAGCAGGAUCUCCUGAGCUUCACUGGGCGACUGUGCUCUCGCUGGGGACACUUUGUUCUCUUCAAGCCUGAGCACUGGGAUUUUACAGCUACUGCUUCAUGACUUCAAAUGAAAGGCCUUCAAAAAGGCUUUUAUCUAAAAUGGCUUCAAAGGCUUCGGAAAGACUCGAUGUUGCCUUUUUCUUUUGUGUUUCUAUGCUAUUACAGUAGCUCGCGAAGAGUGUACAAUUAUCAGACGAGGGGAUAGAAAUACACUGAAUAGUACAUACUACACAACAAGAAAUGACGUUGGACAUUAAAAAUGUAGCAGAGCUAUGGUUUACAUGCAGGAAGUGAUGCUGGAAGGGGAGCAAUGAUGAAAUCUGUGACCUUUUACCAUGAACAUUAAACACUGAAACUGCUGCUGAACACAGAUGUACGUAGAUGUACAUGGGUCAUUUAAAAGAAAAGUGGUAAAGGAUAUAAAAGUAUGCAAUAUGACUCUAACUGAACAGUGCUUACUGUCAAAGUGGCUUAUAUUCAAUAUGGAAUAUGGCCUGUUUAGUAAGACUGGAUAGUAUGGCAUGAAUAAAAUGAUGGAUGCACAAUA